CCUACGGGAGGCAGCAGUGGGGAAUAUUGCUCAAUGGGCGAAAGCCUGACGCAGCCACGCCGCGUGAGGGAUGAAGGUCUUCUGAUUGUAAACCUCUUUCAGCAGGGAAGCACGGUCUCUGUUCUAUUCAGCAGUGAAUUGACGUUACCUGCAAAGGAAGCACCGGCUAACUCCGUGCCAGCAGCCGCGGUAAUACGGAGGGUGCGAGCGUUAAUCGGAAUUACUGGGCGUAAAGCGCUCGUAGGCGGUAUGUCAAGUCAAGGGUGAAAUCCCCGGGCUCAACGUGGGAACUGCCUUUGAAACUGGGAAACUUGAGUGUGUGAGAGGAAAGUGGAAUUCGUGGUGUAGGAGUGAAAUGCGUAGAUAUCUGGAGGAACACCGGUGGCGAAGGCGGCUAUCUGGCACAUGACUGACGCUGAGGAGCGAAAGCGUGGGUAGCAAACAGGAUUAGAUACCCGAGUAGUC
rnacentral:rRNA from 1 species